rnacentral:rRNA from 1 species
UACGUAGGUGGCAAGCGUUGUCCGGAAUUAUUGGGCGUAAAGCGCGCGCAGGUGGUUCCUUAAGUCUGAUGUGAAAGCCCACGGCUCAACCGUGGAGGGUCAUUGGAAACUGGGGAGCUUGAGUGCAAAAGAGGAAAGUGGAAUUCCAAGUGUAGUGGUGAAAUGCGUAGAGAUUUGGAGGAACACCAGUGGCGAAGGCGACUUUCUGGUCUGUAACUGACACUGAGGCGCGAAAGCGUGGGGAGCAAACAGG